rnacentral:rRNA from 3 species
GGGAAAUCUUACCGGGUCCGGACACACUGAGGAUUGACAGGUGCUUGCAGUUACAAUUUUUUGUAACUGCUUCAAAUAUGCUAGUCCUUUCAUGAUCGUGUGAUAGGUGGUGCAUGGCCGUUCUUAGUUCGUGGAGUGAUCUGUCUGCUUAAUUGCGUUUUAAACAGGACUGUAGGCAACAAGUUGUGAUUCGAGAUUAGCCCUCUCAUUUAUUUGGGAGUUGUGCGCUCGUUUCACACAGCCUUUAACGUUCCUUAAGGCAACGA